rnacentral:sRNA from 1 species
GCCAGGCAUGGGGUGCAUGCCUGUAAUCCCAGUGACUCAGGAGGCUAAGUCAGGAGGAUCACAAGUUUGAGGCCAGCCUCAGCAACAUAGUGAGGCCCUGUCUCGA